rnacentral:rRNA from 4 species
GCCUGAUGCAGCAACGCCGCGUGAGGGACGACGGCCUUCGGGUUGUAAACCUCUUUUAGCAGGGAAGAAGCGAAAGUGACGGUACCUGCAGAAAAAGCACCGGCUAACUACGUGCCAGCAGCCGCGGUAAUACGUAGGGUGCAAGCGUUGUCCGGAAUUAUUGGGCGUAAAGAGCUCGUAGGCGGUUUGUCGCGUCUGCUGUGAAAUCCCGAGGCUCAACCUCGGGCCUGCAGUGGGUACGGGCAGACUAGAGUGCGGUAGGGGAGAUUGGAAUUCCUGGUGUAGCGGUGGAAUGCGCAGAUAUCAGGAGGAACACCGAUGGCGAAGGCAGAUCUCUGGGCCGUAACUGACGCUGAGGAGCGAAAGCGUGGGGAGCGAACAGGAUUAGAUACCCUGGUAGUCCACGCCGUAAACGUUGGGAACUAGAUGUGGGGACCAUUCCACGGUCUCCGUGUCGCAGCUAACGCAUUAAGUUCCCCGCCUGGGGAGUACGGCCGCAAGGCUAAAACUCAAAGGAAUUGACGGGGGCCCGCACAAGCGGCGGAGCAUGCGGAUUAAUUCGAUGCAACGCGAAGAACCUUACCAAGGCUUGACAUAUACGAGAACGGGCCAGAAAUGGUCAACUCUUUGGACACUC